rnacentral:rRNA from 1 species
UACGUAGGUGGCAAGCGUUAUCCGGAAUACUGGGCGUAAAGCGCACGCAGGCGGUCUUUUAAGUUUGACGUGAAAGCUCCCGGCUUAACUGGGAGAGGUCGUUGAAGACUGGGAGACUUGAGGCAAUGAGAGGGGUGUAGAAUUCCUGGUGUAGUGGUGGAAUGCGUAGAUAUCAGGAGGAAUACCAGUGGCGAAAGCGGCACCCUAGCGUUGUUCUGACGCUCAUGUGCGAAAGCGUGGGGAGCGAACGGG